UACGUAGGGCGCAAGCGUUAUCCGGAAUUAUUGGGCGUAAAGAGCUCGUAGGCGGUUUGUCGCGUCUGCCGUGAAAGUCCGGGGCUCAACUCCGGAUCUGCGGUGGGUACGGGCAGACUAGAGUGAUGUAGGGGAGACUGGAAUUCCUGGUGUAGCGGUGAAAUGCGCAGAUAUCGGAGGAGACAGCAUAGGCAAGGCAGCUGG
rnacentral:rRNA from 1 species